rnacentral:rRNA from 1 species
CAGCCGUAAACUAUGCUCGCUAGGUGUCAGGGACGGUGCGACCGUUUCUGGUGCCGCAGGGAAGCCGUGAAGCGAGCCACCUGGGAAGUACGGUCGCAAGGCUGAAACUUAAAGGAAUUGGCGGGGGAGCACUACAACGGGUGGAGCCUGCGGUUUAAUUGGACUCAACGCCGGAAACUCACCGGGGGCGACAGCAAUAUGUAGGUCAAGCUGAAGACUUUGCCGGAUUAGCUGAGAGGAGGUGCAUGGCGUAGACGUCU